rnacentral:rRNA from 1 species
AUACGGAGGGUGCAAGCGUUGUUCGGAAUCACUGGGCGUAAAGGGCGCGCAGGCGGUUUGGUAAGUCAGAUGUGAAAGCCCACGGCUCAACCGUGGAAGUGCAUUUGAAACUGCCAGACUUGAGUACCAGAGGGGAAAGUGGAAUUCCCGGUGUAGAGGUGAAAUUCGUAGAUAUCGGGAGGAAUACCGGUGGCGAAGGCGACUUUCUGGCUGGAUACUGGCGCUGAGGCGCGAAAGCGUGGGGAGCAAACAGGAUUAGAAACCCCAGUAGUCC